GAUAAACGCUGGCGGCGUGCCUAAUACAUGCAAGUCGAGCGAACGGACGAGAAGCUUGCUUCUCUGAUGUUAGCGGCGGACGGGUGAGUAACACGUGGAUAACCUACCUAUAAGACUGGGAUAACUUCGGGAAACCGGAGCUAAUACCGGAUAAUAUUUUGAACCGCAUGGUUCAAAAGUGAAAGACGGUCUUGCUGUCACUUAUAGAUGGAUCCGCGCUGCAUUAGCUAGUUGGUAAGGUAACGGCUUACCAAGGCAACGAUGCAUAGCCGACCUGAGAGGGUGAUCGGCCACACUGGAACUGAGACACGGUCCAGACUCCUACGGGAGGCAGCAGUAGGGAAUCUUCCGCAAUGGGCGAAAGCCUGACGGAGCAACGCCGCGUGAGUGAUGAAGGUCUUCGGAUCGUAAAACUCUGUUAUUAGGGAAGAACAUAUGUGUAAGUAACUGUGCACAUCUUGACGGUACCUAAUCAGAAAGCCACGGCUAACUACGUGCCAGCAGCCGCGGUAAUACGUAGGUGGCAAGCGUUAUCCGGAAUUAUUGGGCGUAAAGCGCGCGUAGGCGGUUUUUUAAGUCUGAUGUGAAAGCCCACGGCUCAACCGUGGAGGGUCAUUGGAAACUGGAAAACUUGAGUGCAGAAGAGGAAAGUGGAAUUCCAUGUGUAGCGGUGAAAUGCGCAGAGAUAUGGAGGAACACCAGUGGCGAAGGCGACUUUCUGGUCUGUAACUGACGCUGAUGUGCGAAAGCGUGGGGAUCAAACAGGAUUAGAUACCCUGGUAGUCCACGCCGUAAACGAUGAGUGCUAAGUGUUAGGGGGUUUCCGCCCCUUAGUGCUGCAGCUAACGCAUUAAGCACUCCGCCUGGGGAGUACGACCGCAAGGUUGAAACUCAAAGGAAUUGACGGGGACCCGCACAAGCGGUGGAGCAUGUGGUUUAAUUCGAAGCAACGCGAAGAACCUUACCAAAUCUUGACAUCCUUUGACAACUCUAGAGAUAGAGCCUUCCCCUUCGGGGGACAAAGUGACAGGUGGUGCAUGGUUGUCGUCAGCUCGUGUCGUGAGAUGUUGGGUUAAGUCCCGCAACGAGCGCAACCCUUAAGCUUAGUUGCCAUCAUUAAGUUGGGCACUCUAAGUUGACUGCCGGUGACAAACCGGAGGAAGGUGGGGAUGACGUCAAAUCAUCAUGCCCCUUAUGAUUUGGGCUACACACGUGCUACAAUGGACAAUACAAAGGGCAGCGAAACCGCGAGGUCAAGCAAAUCCCAUAAAGUUGUUCUCAGUUCGGAUUGUAGUCUGCAACUCGACUACAUGAAGCUGGAAUCGCUAGUAAUCGUAAAUCAGCAUGCUACGGUGAAUACGUUCCCGGGUCU
rnacentral:rRNA from 1 species